rnacentral:rRNA from 1 species
CGGACGGGUGAGUAAUGCGUGAGCAACCUGCCCUUCAGGGGGGGACAACAGUUGGAAACGACUGCUAAUACCGCAUAAUGUAUCCGGGAGGCAUCUUUUGGAUACCAAAGGAGAAAUCCGCUGAUGGAUGGGCUCACGUCUGAUUAGCUAGUUGGUGAGGUAACGGCUCACCAAGGCUGCGAUCAGUAGCCGGACUGAGAGGUUGAACGGCCACAUUGGGACUGAGAUACGGCCCAGACUCCUACGGGAGGCAGCAGUGGGGAAUAUUGGGCAAUGGGCGAAAGCCUGACCCAGCAACGCCGCGUGAAGGAAGAAGGCCUUCGGGUUGUAAACUUCUUUUAAGAGGGACGAAGAAGUGACGGUACCUCUUGAAUAAGCCACGGCUAACUACGUGCCAGCAGCCGCGGUAAUACGUAGGUGGCGAGCGUUAUCCGGAUUUACUGGGUGUAAAGGGCGCGUAGGCGGGAAUGCAAGUCAGAUGUGAAAUCCAAGGGCUCAACCCUUGAACUGCAUUUGAAACUGUAUUUCUUGAGUGUCGGAGAGGUUGACGGAAUUCCUAGUGUAGCGGUGAAAUGCGUAGAUAUUAGGAGGAACACCAGUGGCGAAGGCGGUCAACUGGACGAUAACUGACGCUGAGGCGCGAAAGCGUGGGGAGCAAA